rnacentral:rRNA from 1 species
AUUGAACGCUGGCGGCAUGCUUUACACAUGCAAGUCGAGCGGCAGCGCGGGGGCAACCCUGGCGGCGAGCGGCGAACGGGGGAGUAAUGCAUCGGAACGUGUCCCGUAGUGGGGGAUAACCCGGCGAAAGCCGGGCUAAUACCGCAUAUGCUCUACGGAGGAAAGCGGGGGACCGCAAGGCCUCGCGCUAUGGGAGCGGCCGAUGUCCGAUUGGCUAGUUGGUGGGGUAAUGGCUCACCAAGGCGACGAUCGGUAGCUGGUCUGAGAGGAUGAUCAGCCACACUGGGACUGAGACACGGCCCAGACUCCUACGGGAGGCAGCAGUGGGGAAUUUUGGACAAUGGGGGCAACCCUGAUCCAGCCAUGCCGCGUGCGGGAAGAAGGCCUUCGGGUUGUAAACCGCUUUUAGCCGGGAAGAAAAGGCCAGGCCUAAUACGUCUGGUUCUUGACGGUACCGGCGGAAUAAGCACCGGCUAACUACGUGCCAGCCGCCGCCGUAAAAC